AUCCUUCUGCACACUUUUGUACACUUUUCCACACUUACCCACGUCACCCUGCACACUUAAACACGUUAUUAUGCCCCGAGUUCAAGUGUUCUGAAGACUUUACUGAUGCAAACUUUCCCUUCGGGUAUCGUUUUCUUCUUUCGUUAAUACUUAAUAGCAUACCCUGAUCUUAUUCGUCUCCCCUUAUCUGUUAUUUUGAGCGUGUUUUUACCAGUGAACUUGCUCUAUUUAUCCGUCGUCAAGUUCUAAGGUUGUCGUGUAUUAAAGUUCCAACACUAUGAUGACGUCACGGCCUCCAUUUUCCCUGUCGUCUGUGAAGGCUGCCGAGACAGCGCUGUAUUUUUCUUGUUUUUUUAGGUUAUUAUAAAGUGCCCGGAAGCGCCAUGCUGUGGGAAGACAUAAGAAGAAGAGGAGGAAGAACAAGAGGAGGAGGAGGAGGAGGAUGAAGGGGACACACAGGAAUCAAAUGAUACUGCCAGAAGAAGAAGAGGAGGAGGAAGAGGAUACAGAGGAAUCAGUUGACACUACCAAACGAAGAAGAGGAGGAGGAGGACUGGGAAGAAGACGAGGAACACAGGAGGAGCCCAUUGACACUACCAAACGAAGAAGAGGAGGAGGAGGAGGAGGAGGAAGAAGAAGACGAGGAACACCGGAGGAACCCAUUGAGUGUGCGGUGUGCAGACCAAGACGCUAGAGUUGUCCGUUCAGCCGUUCAAUUCUGCCGAGGGAAAGAUGUCGUGUUAGUCAACUCUGGUGACUUGCACUUUUCUCUGCAAGGGACUGUUCUUCUGUAAGCCAGUCACAGAAGAUGUGAACUGUAUCUGUACUAUGAAGUCUUAUCAAUAAAAUUAAGGGCCACACCUAUGACUUGAUCUUGUCCCAAACCCAUUUAGGUAUAAUCGACUUAGGUACGACAUUUUUCAGGCUACUUUUCAAGAUGUUUUUGAGCUGUAAGCUGAUAUAUCUAGUUGCUUUGAUCUUUUUUAAAAGCUAAUUCUAUAUAUAUUAAAGGGAGGAAUUUUUUUUUUUUUUUUUUUUUUUUUUUUUUUACAGCAAAGGAGACAGUUCAAGGGCACAAAAAAAGUAAACAUUAAUAAAAAAAAGCCUGCUACUUAAUGCUCCUAAAAAGAAUCCAAAGAGGUGGCCGAAAGAUAGGUCAGUUUCGGGGGGAGAGGUGUCCUGACACCUUUCUAAUUUUCAUACAGAAAAAAAAAACUUAUAAUAUAAAAAGAAUUAUAUAUGAAUUGGAAACAGUGCAAUAAACAUGAGAUAUAAGAGAAGACAACGAAGGGAACUUACAAGGGGAGAGAUUGUAUACAUAAAGAGCUCAAAACUCAUUGAAAAAGCAAUGGAAAUUAAGAGACAAUAAUUACAUAUGGAAUAAAAGACGUGGAAACAAGUACUAUAGUCUAAAAAAGGACAACUCAAAGACGGAGGAAGACGAGACCUUAGAUAUACAACCAAGAAGAAAAUAAGACAGACAUGAGAUUAUUACUAUGACAUAAAUACCUUAGACAAAGAGAAAGCAGAUAACAUAUCACAGACUAAAAUAUUUGAGGCGUACGGCAGAGAAGUGAGGUGACAUUAGGAAUGGCGACCCUUGUGUAAAUUGUACGAAGGGUCUCUUUCGCCUUGCAAUUAGUAUCAUAACAUAGCAAUUUAACUCUAAUUUGCACUGGGAAAGACAGACUACCCCUCCAAGGAUGAAUCAAAAUGGAAACGAAACUUUUAUGGGGCAGACGGAGGGUCACUUUCCCUCGUAACGUACAUCAUGACGAGCAAUAUGGCAAUAAUUAUGUUCUAGUUAGCAAGGGGGGAAAGGAAGAACAAGAUAUAGUUACUUGCAAGGGAAAAUAAACCUUGCAUAAGAUGAGCGGAGGGCUGGAAGUCUCGUAAUCUGUUCUCAGUGUGUAAACGUACUCUAAUAUACGUAAGAAUAGGUCACCGUGCCUUAGGAUUUCUCUGCCGUAAGCCUCGUUUAUACGUUAAGAGAUGAGGAGGAAGGGAAACAAGCAAAUAAUGGAACUCUAUAUAUACGAUACAGUGAAAAGGAUUUACCGAGAAGGAUGUACGUAUGAGAGGAGGAAAGUGAGGAGGCGGAGAAGAGAGAUUACGGUAAGUAAAGGGAAGUAAAACAGAUGAUGAGGAUUUAUAUAUAAAUAAAACUAAAUAAAGAAGGAAUGAUUAGAACUGAGAGAGAGAGAGAGAAAGGUACAUCACAGAGGAGGAAAGUCUGGAAUUUGAGGAAGACAAGGAGGAAGGAACGCCAGCCAUGGAGUCUACUGUCGUCAAGGAGCUGAUUCAAGGUACGUCUCAAACUUUCCUCCCUAAGAUCUAUGAAGCAGACCCUUCCGCCCCUCACGUCAGCUACUUGCAAAGGUCAAUAAGGAGAUCAAUCAAGGUCUCACGAGUCUUGUUUUAAGAUUCAUGGUAAGGAGAAAGUUAAAACUACCACCUGGGUCAUCAAACUGCCCCUGGAAAUUCUCACAACUCCUACAAAAGCCUGUCAAAUGUGUGCGCUUGGAACAAUAUUUUUUAAGAAUGUGACUGUCAGAUGCCAAAAAGGAGAUCAAUCGGGUUCUAAUUGAGUGGUUUUGAAGGUUCAUGGUACAUAGGAAGGGUUAAUCUAUCACCAGGGUCAUAAAACUACCCCUGGAAAUGCCCAAACCUCCUACGGAAGCCUUAAAGACAAGUCUCUCGGGAUGGCUUUUUCAAGAAUGUGAGCCUCGGACAUUUCCGCUCCUCACAUCAGCUACUUCCAAAGGCCGUAAAGGAGAUUAAUUGGGUUCUUUUGACUUGUUUUAUAGGUUCAUGGUAAAGAGGAAAGGUCUUGCUACAACCAGGGUCAUAAAACUACCCCUGGAAAUGCCCGCAACUCCUAUGAAAGCCCUGUCAAUUUACCACACUCAGGGGAUGAAAUGUUUAAGAAUACAACACUAAUAUAACUAAUACAAUGUUUGAAUGAGUGUUUUUUAGGUUCUUGAUACAGUAGAAGGGUUAAACUACAACCAGGGUCAUAAAACUACCCCUGGAAAUGCCCACAACUCCUAUGAAAGCCCUGUCAGUUUACCGCACUCGGGGGACAAAAUGUUUAAGAAUACAACACUAAUACAACAAAUAUAAUGAGUGUUUUUUAGGUUCUUGGUACAGUAGAAGGGUUAAGUUGUAAAGUUUUGUUCAGUCAGCGCAACAUCUGUGGUCAUAUGCCGGAGAGGGACAGAUGGGGAAGGAAUUAUAGGAGAAGGGAACAGAUCCCAGGAGACGGGACACAACCCCCCAAUUAAUACCUGGUACCCAUUCACUGCUGGACGGACAGGGGCGUAGGGUAUCGGAAAAGCCGCCCAAAUUUUUCCACUCCGCCCGGGAAUCGAACCAGGGCUCUCUCGGUUGUGAGCCGAGUGUGCUAACCACUGCACCAUGAAGUCCCCUGUAGAAGGGUUAAACUACCACCAGGGUCAUCAAACUACCCCUGGAAAUGCCCACAACUCCUGUGAAGACCCUGUCAAAGGUGUGCGCUUGGGCAGGUGACAUUUUUCAGUCCUCGUGGUUUCCUACGUAAUAUUGUAGUUUGCAAAAAAUGAUCAAAUUUGACAAAAAAUUACCAAAUUGAGUGGAUGGAGAGGGAGAGGAGACAUUAGCCACACCAAGCUAAGCACAACCUAUGCAGCCCUCAGAACGAAGACCUACUGACAGCCUAACGUCACUGCAUUUCGUAACAUCAUAACACACACACCACAUGACGUAGAGAGAUCAAGUUUGCGGCAGAUUGAAGAGGAAGGAUGGAUAAACAAAUGCAGGUAUAUUCAAAGCUACCGGGUCAGGGAGAGCCGUGAUACUGAUGAUGUUAAGUGAGCAAUUUUCAGGAAGACGUCACAUUUCCGUACAGGGACAACCGAUUGCAUGGUACGUCAAACUACUAGAGAAAGGAAUGGUGAAUGUACAGCGGAAAUUUGACAUUAUUUCACAGUGUAAUUUAUUGGUUAUUACAGCGUUUUGAAUGGUAAACAUUAUACUGGCGACAAUAUGAGCCUUUGUUGACAGCAUAUACUAAGGCUUCAGUGAGAGGGAACAGGAGGUAUUUCAUGGUGUGUUUUAGUGGUUAUUAGGACAUGUAUUCAAAGGUAAACACAUGAUUAUUAUACUGCCCGUAGAGUGACCCUUCUUUAACUGUAUAUACUCAGGCUUCAGAGAGAGAGAGGGAGCUGACUAACUAGAAUUUUUACUUCAUUUUGUCCCAAGUUCUCUCUAUUUUUCCUCCCUCUCCUUCAGUCUAUCUUAAAUCCUCCCUCUCCUUCAGUCUAUCUUAAAUCCUCCCUCUCCUCCAGCCUCCAAAUAUCCCUCCAUUCCCUCCCUGUCUGGAGCGAUGUAAAUGGGGCAGUGAUGUGCUUCUUGGAUGACUGUUUGGAUUAUUGAACUCUCUCUCUCUAUUCUGACCACCACAAUCAACCGAGAUCAACCAAAAUUCAUCCCAACCUAGCCAAAGGAUCGAUCUACCAGCCUACCGAACAUCAACCAUCUGCCGCACACAGUAACAGAAUGGUAGAGAAAAAGGUUCAGAAAAUAUUACAAAAAAUUCUUUACCAUCCUGAAACCCACACUUAAUGCAUGACUCUAUUCUGACCACCACAAUCAACCAAAAUCAACCAAAAUUCAUCUGAACAUAGUCAAAGGACCCAUCUACCAGCCUACCGAAUGUCAACCAUCUGCCACACACAGUAACUGAAUGGUAGAGAAAAAGGUAGAAAAAUAUUACCAGCAAAAUUCCGUACAAUCCCAUGACCCAAACUUCACACAAAAAGGGAAAAUAAUGACCCACAAAAAGCCUUCUCCGUUACUUUAAAACUUUUUAUAGAAAGGAAAACUUAUCAAAAAGCCUGCCAUGUUUUUUCUCUCUCUCUCUCUCUCUCUCUCUCUCUCUCUCUCUCUCUCUCUCUCUCUCUCUC